GGCAGGAGAGGGGGCUCAGGACGCGGAUUUGCAUGGAGGCCCCUCCUCUGAGCAGGGAUAAGAGAGGCUGGAGCAGGCCCAGCGCUGGGCUCAGGGGCAGCGCUCUGGGGGUCUCCACCAUGGCCUGGGCUCUGCUCCUCCUCUCCCUCCUCUCUCAGGGCACAGGGUCCGGGGCCCAGUCUGCCCUCACCCAGCCUCCCUCCGUGUCCGGGACUCUGGGACAGUCGGUCACCAUCUCCUGUGCUGGAACCAGCAGUGACGUUGGGGGUUAUGAUGCUGUCUCCUGGUACCAACAGCACCCGGGCACAGCCCCCAAACUCCUGAUUUAUGCUGUGACUACUCGGGCCUCGGGGACCCCUGAUCGCUUCUCUGGCUCCAAGUCUGGCAACACGGCCUCCCUGACCAUCUCAGGGCUCCGCACUGAGGACGAGGCUGACUAUUACUGCAGCUCACCUAGGACUGGUUACAGUCCCCACAGUGGUGCAAGUUCCUGGGGAAGUGAGACCAAAACCUGCCCUGAGCUCACAGCCCCUCCUGCUCUGAAGACGCUUCCCCUCCCUGUGCAGAGGGGGCUGCAGGCCACACACCUGGGGAUUCCCUCCCUUGUCAGCCCCUCCUCUCCCUCCCUGAUGUCCAACCUUCUCUCUGGUUGACCAUCUAGGACAAUGACAGCUCUCCUUCCCUGUGUGACGUGGUCCCACAUGUGCAGCUGUCUCCAGCUCUGCAACGGCGGGGACUCUGUGACAAGGAGCUGCCUGCUGGGUGUAGCCCCUGCUGUUUGGGGAAAUCCUCACCCUAAACGCCUCCCCGUCUCCCACCCCAUGAGGACCAGCCUGGAGAGGAGUCAUUAGUGACGUCUCCAGAAACGGCGUCUUACCCAACCCGGUUUCUACCGGGCUCUAGUGCAGGUGGCCCUCCCUGCUGGGCUCAUCCUCGGCACGUCUGUACUGAAGCAGGUACCCCCAUGACAAGAUCUGAAGGUACUUUGGAGGGAUAAAUACAAGGGGAAGAUGUUC